UGAGAGGGCUUCCGGAUGCGGGCUUUAUUAGGAUUGGGGAGGCUCGGCUACACAGCUGAGGAUUGUUAGGGACGUGUUUCGGGAUCUGCGGUCCCGGUAAGGUGACGGUCUUGGCCUUGGAGCUGCAGUUGGAGCUUAAUGCUACCUGUUGAAAGUUGUGCAGUUGGGGUUUUUUGGUUUUUUUUUUAAAGAUUAUUUAUUUGAGAGGGAACACGAGCGGGGGGGGGGGUGGCAGAAGCAGGUCCCCCGUUGAGCAGGGAGCCCGACAUGGGGCUCGAUCCCAGGACCCAGAGAUCAUGACCCCAGCCAAAAGCAGAUGCUUAAUCCACUGAGCCACCCGGGCGCCCCGAGACUUGUGCAAUUUUUUUUUUUUUUUGACUUGUGCGAUUUUUAAAUGGAUUUUUGUGAAGUCAAGAGAGUCCGGUUGUUUGCAGCUUUUGUUUCCCUGGGCAGGUGUUCCUGGCAUGAUCAAGCCCCAAAAUACAGUCACGUUACUUGCUUCACCCGUGAAGAAGGAGCUGCCAAAUUGAAACGAAUAGAUGCUUAUUAAUACCUCAGAAGUAUUACUGCUCCCCAGCCAGCUGCAACCCACAGCAUAUUUAGGGGCCCAUUGCAUUUACUCUGGAGAGAGAUUUCUUUGAGAGAGAGGACAGAGGGAAAGAGAGUCCUCACGCCAGGGAGCCUGACAUGGGGUUCAUCCCAGGACCUGAGCCAAAAUCAGGAGUUGGCUGUACAACUGGCUGAGCCACCUAGACACCUCCAGGCAUGAAUUUUUCCAUUGUUUGAGUUUGGGACGGUCUCAGGGAGGGCUGGAGCACCUGGGCAUUUGGGGCAAUUGGGGGCCUUAGGGAUGUGGCUAUUUACCAAUCCAUAGUGGACAUCCAGUUUGGGCCCUGUCAGAGCAUCCCGGCUGAAAAUCUGCCUGCUUAGGUAGCAUGGGGCUUCAGUCCAGGCCCUGGCAUGUGAACGACAGGGUCUCCUGGUGAAAGCUGGGGUCUCCCAGUGAAGCCUCGGCUUCAAGGGGCCCCUGGACAUUUGAGUGGCACCCGUAUGGAACUUUGCUAGGUGUGCAGGUCUGCCCAUCUUAGACUUGGAGAAAUCUUUCCCCUUCCCUGUUCCUAGCUGACACAUUUCCUGUCUGCUCGCUCUCCACACCAGUGCUCCCCUCUUUCACAACACCUUGCUGGCAAAUUCAGCCCUGACACCGCAUCAUUAGGAACUGGGGAGCUAGUGCUUCAUUCCUUAAGGGCAAGGAAGACAACCUUCAAACUGCCAGGACACGAGGAAAAAUAUUUGUAUUCUCUAUUUUUCCAUGGUAAAGAAAGGGAAAAAAUAGAAAUCACUAGUUUGACAAUACAUAUCAAGUAAGUUUAUAGCCUAGUGAUUUCCCUACUAGGGAUAUAACUUGAGGAACUAAUCAGAGAUUUUUUUUAGGGGCACCUAGGUGGCUCAGUGGUUGAGCCAUCAGGAAACUGCCCAAUAUGUUACAUUUUAAAAGCAGAUUGAGGGCAGCCUGGGUAGCUCAGUGGUUUAGCGUCUGCCUUCGGCCCAGAGAUUGAGUCCCACAUUGGGCUCCCUGUGUGGGGCCUGCUUCUCCCUCUGCUUCUCUCUCUCUCUCUCUCUCUCUCUCUGUAAUAAAUAAAUAAAAUCUUAAAAAUAACAAAAGCAGAUUGAAAUAAUAUAAAAGGGAAAAAAUAGAAUUUGUAGCUUUAUUAAAUAUAAAUUUGUAAACUGUUUCUUUAAUCAGUUGAUUCCAUAAAAUUGCCAUUACGUGCCAGGCACUGAGGGGUAUACUAGUAAGAUCUUAAAAAUGUAAUUUUCAAGGGGUCCUUGGCUGGCUCAGUCCAUAGAGCAUCCGACUAUUGAUCUCAGGGCUGUGGGUUCAAGCCCCACACUGGGUAGAGAGAUUAUUUUUUUAAUUAUUCUUUUUUUUUAAUUUUUUAAAAACGUAAUUUUCAAAAAGGUAAAGGCAUGACUUCCAAAUAAAUAUAAAAUGGGGAUGUGUCAAAAAUUUUAACUCAUUAAUGAAUGAGGAAACCAAGAGGUUGUCAGAAGUGGUUUAAAGGGGAAUCUGAAGGGCAUCCCGGGUGGCUCAGCGGUUUAGCGCCGCCUUCAGCCCGGAGCCUGAUCCUGGGGACCCGGGAUCUAGUCCCACGUUGGGCUCCCUGCAUGGAACCUGCUUCUCCCUCUGCCUGUGUCUCUGCCUCUCUCUCUCUCUCUCUCUCUGUCUCUCAUGAAUAAAUAAAUAAAAUCUUAAAAAAAGAAAAAAUAAAGGGGAAUCCGAAGAAAAGACAUCUAUAGGAAGUCAGGAGUGUGCUAAUUGGAUGCAAAACUGGUCAGUAUGCUACAGAGCAAGAAAACUGUAAUGUUCAGAAUCCUCUUUUUCACAGGAUGGAGGGGGCAGGCGGGGUAAAACAGCCUAGUUGAAAGCCAUCAUACAGAGACCCUCCUAGAAUCAAUGCCUCCGGAGGACCUGCUCUCUGAGCUCCGCUCCGCCGGAAGCAUGGCCAUCACCGUUGCAUGUCUCAAAGUCUUUUGCGGUUUUUCCCAACAAACGAGAGAAGUUCCUGGCUGGUGGAACUAUCCUUCAAUCUAGUUAAUAAACAUACAAUAAAUUUUUUGAGAUUUAUUUAUUUAUUUAUUGAGAGAGAGAGAGAGAGAGAGAGAGGCAGGCAGAGGGAAAAGCAGGCCCCACGCAGGGAGCCCGACAUGGGACUCGAUCCCGGGUCUCCAGGAUCACGCCCUGGGUUGAAGGCGGUGCUAAACUGCUGCGCCACCAGUGCUGCCCAACAUACAGUAACUUUAAUAAAUGUAUAAGCUGACAGUUUUUUCACCAAAAGGUAAAAUGACUUUUCUGAGGUCAUCUCAGAUUUUAUUUAUCAGUUAAGGAGGGACCCAGUAAGAUUUUACAUAUAACCUGUUCUUUUUUU